UACGUAGGGGGCAAGCGUUGUCCGGAAUCAUUGGGCGUAAAGAGCGUGUAGGCGGUUCGGUAAGUCGGCUGUGAAAGUCCAGGGCUCAACCCUGGGAUGCCGGUCGAUACUGCCGGACUAGAGUUCGGAAGAGGCGAGUGGAAUUCCCGGUGUAGCGGUGAAAUGCGCAGAUAUCGGGAGGAGCACCAAUGGCGAAGGCAGCUCGCUGGGACGUUACUGACGCUGAGACGCGAAAGCGUGGGGAGCAAACAGG
rnacentral:rRNA from 1 species